GAGUGUACAAGGUGAUGGACUUCGAAAAAAAGGAAAACACCGAAAAGGACAUGUUAAAUACCUUAAUAAGAUUAAUUAUAAAAUUGAGACCUAAAACAUCAGUCAAGGAAUAGAAAGCCAUAGAAGGUCGGAGCUGAGUGGUGACUGUUGAGUGCUCACUUAGGUCUGUUUAGUUUUCUAUUUGGGCCAAAAAAAAAGAUUUUGGCCUACCGUCCUGCAGAAUGAAAUUAAGGGCUUGUUUAGCAUCUUCAAGAGUUUGCUAAAUUUUCCUAAAACAUAUGCCAAGUAAAAAAUCAGUCUAUCUCCAAGAGUUUGGCAAUUUUGGCUUGGCAAAAUUAAAAAAAAGACCUACAAACUAAUCUUAUUCCACAUGUACUGUUUCUAUUUGAGAGUGGCAGUGCUCAGCAUCAGCAGUGCUCAGCAGCGGUGCUCGCAACAGUGCAAUCAAUUCCCAUGUCAUUUUCAACACAGCAGCAGGAGGAGUCAGGCCUUGUUUAGUUCCGAAAACUGAAAAGUUUUCAGAACUGUAGCACUUUCGUUUAUUUGUGAUGAGAGGAGUCAUGCAGAUUCUCGCAGAUGAGCAGCAGCUGUCCAAUCUGAGCACGGGAAUGCAGCAUCAGCUGUCCAAUCAGAGCACGGAAAGAGGACACACGAGGCGUGGGAAGAGGCGACGUCGGACUUCGCGAUGCCAAGUCUGAUACGCGCGCGUAUCUUUGCGCGCUAGGAGAAGAAAUAUGCCAAGUUCUUACUUUUAGCAAGUUGAGAUACCAAAUUGUUGGAGAAUGUUUUUUUAUGUUUUGCUAAAAAUUUAUGAAUACCAAGUUAAGAUA